rnacentral:rRNA from 1 species
CUCAGACGAACGCUGGCGGCGUGCUUAGCACAUGCAAGUGGAGCGACGAACCAGGCUUCGGCCUGGGGCAAAGCCGCGAACGGGUGAGUAACACGUGGGUAACCUGCCCCGAAGACCGGGACAACCCGGGGAAACCCGGGCUAAUACCGGAUGUGGUCACCGUCUAUAAGGACGGUGAGCAAAGGGAGCUUCGGCCCCCGCUUCGGGAUGGGCCCGCGGCCUAUUAGCUUGUUGGUGGGGUAACGGCUCACCAAGGCGACGAUAGGUAGCUGGUCUGAGAGGACGAUCAGCCACACUGGGACUGAGACACGGCCCAGACUCCUACGGGAGGCAGCAGUGGGGAAUCUUGCGCAAUGCGCGAAAGCGUGACGCAGCAACGCCGCGUGGGGGAAGAAGGCCUUCGGGUUGUAAACCCUUUUCGGGGGGGACGAAGCUUCGGCUGUGAAUAGCAGUCCGGAGUGACGGUA